ACGUGCUGGGGAGAAGGAGGGGCCAAAGAGAAGGACUGCUUUAGCAAUCUUAAUCUGCCGAGCGUUUACUAAGUGCAAGGCACUAUUCUGAGGGUUUCCGGGUAUUUAUUCAGUUAAUCCUCACAACUCUAGGAGCCAGUCAGCCGCACAGCCUGAACUUGGACCCGGGUCCGUCCGACGCACAGAUGGCUGAGCCUACCUCGAAGGUGAUGAUGAAGCCCAGACGCACAGCCAGCAGCUUCCAGUAGAAGAGGGUGAGAUUCCUCUGAGUGUCGCGAAAGCCCUUGUACCUGGGUUGAGGAGGGCGCGGAGUCCCGCGAGGUUCUCGACUCCGCGACCGGCACACCCACCCCUCCCCACCCUAGAGCCUGGCCCUGCC